rnacentral:tRNA from 1 species
GGCGCUAUAGCCAAGUGGUUACGGCGACAGAUUCGAAUUCUCUUAUCUGUUCCUCUUUGAGGGCGCAGGUUCAAAUCCUGCUGGCGUCG